UACGUAGGUGGCAAGCGUUAUCCGGAUUUAUUGGGCGUAAAGGGAACGCAGGCGGUCUUUUAAGUCUGAUGUGAAAGCCUUCGGCUUAACCGGAGUAGUGCAAUGGAAACUGGGAGGCUUGAGUGCAGAAGAGGAGAGUGGAACUCCAUGUGUAGCGGUGAAAUGCGUAGAUAUAUGGAAGAACACCAGUGGCGAAAGCGGCUCUCUGGUCUGUAACUGACGCUGAGGUUCGAAAGCGUGGGUAGCAAACAGG
rnacentral:rRNA from 1 species